rnacentral:rRNA from 1 species
UACGGAGAGUGCAAACGUUGUUCGGAUUCACUGGGCGUAAAGGGCACGUAGGCGGCUCGGCAAAUCGGUCGUGGAAUCCCGACGCUUACCGUCGGAACGGCGGCCGAAAAUACCGGGCUCGAGGGCGUGAGGGGUCACUGGAACUCCUGGUGAAGCAGUGAAAUGCGUAGAUAUCAGGAGGAACGCCGGAGGCGAAAGCGAGUGACUGGCGCGUUCCUGACGCUGAGGUGCGAAAGCUAGGGGAGCAAACAGG